rfam:Schistosoma margrebowiei strain Zambia genome assembly, scaffold: SMRZ_contig0000947
AGACUUCUGUAUCCGUGCUGAGAUUUCGUCACACAUCAGACCACAAGGGUUGAUGAGACUUCCAUAAUAAGUGGAGCG